AAGCUGGAGGAUGAGGAAUUGGUCUCCUAUAUUCUCACCGGCCUUGAUCAAGACUACGACUCGGUGGUGUUCGCGGUGGCGGCACGUGCCGAAACAAUCUCAGUUGGGGAGCUGUUCACCCAAUUGACAUCAUUCGAGU
rnacentral:snoRNA from 1 species